rnacentral:rRNA from 1 species
GAACCUGCGGAAGGAUCAUUAAUGAAAUGAAUGUCGGAGAAGGGCUGUAGCUGGCCUCUCAGGGGCAUGUGCACGCCUUGAUCAGGCAUCCACCUCUUACACCUGUGCACUACAUGUAGCUUGGGAUGAUUACGGCGUUGGAAACGACGCCGAAAGCCCUAGCUAUGAAUUAUAUAUACACACACACUUAUAAAGUUAUAGAAGGGAUGAAGUUUAUAGCGCGUAACAGCGUGAAUAUAUACAACUUUCAGCAACGGAUCUCUUGGCUCUCGCAUCGAUGAAGAACGCAGCGAAAUGCGAUAAGUAAUGUGAAUUGCAGAAUUCAGUGAAUCAUCGAAUCUUUGAACGCACCUUGCGCUCCUUGGUAUUCCGAGGAGCAUGCCUGUUUGAGUGUCAUGAAAUUCUCAACUGCAUCAGCAUUUAUGUUGAAGUGAAGUUGGACUUUGGAGGGUGAUUGCUGGCGUGACUCAGGUCGCUUGUUGGCUCCUCUUGAAUGUAUAUGAGUGUGUUUCUAAUGGAUCAUGGCUCAGUAACGCUGAUGUGAUAAUUAUCUACGUUAGACGUGAAAGCCGUGAGUAGAGUCUCGCUCAGGUGAGACUCCUAUAGAAACCAAGUGUCUUGGGAAAUUUUGUUAUGACCCGUUUUGACACGACGAAUGACGAAUCCGACCUCAAAUCANGUAGGACUACCCGCUGAACUUAAGCAUAUCAAUAAGCGGAGGAAAAG